rnacentral:misc_RNA from 1 species
AAAGUCGUAACAAGGUUUCCGUAGGUGAACCUGCGGAAGGAUCAUUAAUGAAUUUUGGAGUUCUACUGUGCCUGCCGUUCAUUUGGAUGUGUGCACGUAGUCUCUAUAAAUCCUUAUCAACACCUGUGCACCUUUAAAAAGGGGGAAACUGAUUAAGCUUGUUUUUUUUUUUACGGGCUUAUGAGGAAUAACCUUUUUUCUUAUACAAACUCUUAAUGUCUAUUAGAAUGUUCUCUGGCCGCAAGGCUAUAAAAUAUAAACAACUUUUAACAACGGAUCUCUUGGCUCUC